ensembl:lncRNA
GUUCUUCUUUGACGUUGAGAUCUUUACCUUCCAGAGUUGUUCGAUUUGAAAGCCAUUCUAACAAGUCUAUAAAUAGUCUAGAGUGUUAAAAUGCGUGCAUUGGGGUUCCUGAGAGGAUCUUCUGAAGAAUUUAGGGAUUUUAGCUUCUUAAUAAGGAUCUAAUCGGAAGCCUCUCUGAUAGGAAAACACCUUUUAAGGGUUCCUCGAACGUAUAGUCGUAGUGGUGUAGAUGAAUGGAAAUUUCCGAUGGUCUUAAUAUGUGCAUCAAUCUCGUAGGCUCUACAUCGUACCCAACAAUCUACACACUCUCAGGAAUAGAAAGAUUACGCACUGGUUCUUUGGUGAGUUAAGCGGUCUAAUCUUUUCGUAAGGGUUGUAAGUGGAAAGCGCUUUGAAGAGAUCGUCCAAAACAACAAGCCUGACAGACUAGACUCAGUGAACAUCAAAAAUCAGUGCAUUUCUUCUGGAUAACGGAGGGAUAAAAAGAAAGGAUUCACAACUAGAAAAACUAUCUGGUUUAAAUUCAAAUGCUCUUCAUAUGUAUACAAGCUUUAGUGGAUCUUCAUCACUCUGUGGAGGGUUAAGGGCUCUUAGCUUUCAAAAGAGGUUUGACUUGGAAGCCAGUGGAACAAGCCAAAGAGUCCGGGGUGUAGAGUUGACGAAUAUCGAAAUCAUUUCUAUUGGAUGAUGGAAGGAUAAGAAAGAAAGGAUUAACGAGGGGAAGAGGAAACUAUAUGGUGUAAAUAUCUACUUUAGUGGCUCUACAUCAUUCCCACCAAUCUAUACUCUCUUGCAGACAAAGGGUUCCUAAUGGGUUCUUCUGGAAAGUGAAGCAAGCUUGGCUUUCUAAUAGGAUUCUACUUGAAAGCCUAUUUGAAGGGUUCCUCCACAGGAACCAGCCAAAGAGUCUUAAUGGGGAACCUUGUGGGUUCUUAUGGAGUGUUCCUAAGAGGGUUCAAGAGUAGAAUUCAAGCUUUCAUCCAACCAAAGAACCCCUUAAGGGAAUAUUUUUUCCCCCCAAAAAGGCUGUUUGGAAAGCACCUUUUAACGAACAAGCCAAAAGAGUCCAUUGAUAUUAAAAUCAGUGGAUUUCUAUUGGAUGAUGGAGAAAUAAAAUUGGUGCAAACGUAAUUUUGGAUGGUCUUCAUAUGUACACCAACUUUGCCGGCUCUAAAUCGUACCCACCAAUCUGUACACUCUUAGGGACAAAAGGGUUCCUCACCGGUCGUUCUGAAGAGUUAACAGCUUCCUAAAAUUAGUUUAAGAUUCCCUUCAAUUAAAGAAACCUCAAACGGAAAGCAUGUGGGAUAAGAUGUUGGGGGGUGGGGUGGGGAGGGGACUAAUGUGUAAAAAGCUCAGGAGUAAUUUGAGAAUUUAAUCAUUUCAGCUUGAAGGCUGAUGAGAUGCAAGUGUUCGGAAGAAGCAAGAUGAAUAACUGAGCUGAAACGGAGACGUUUUGGUUAGUUCUGGAUUGAAACUCGUUCCGAAAGAGAAAUGUGUACAAACUUGCAAGGAGGAAUGUAAAAAAAAAAAAAAAAAACGAAAAAAGAGAAAAGACUUUGGCUAAUUUUGACUUGCAUCCUUAAAAAAAUUAAAUAAAUAAAAACGAACAGAUAAGACACAGUUCUCUAAUUGAAGUAAAUCUGGAGAUAACACUUAGCGCUUCAUCAUCAGAAAGCGUUUCAUGUCCGAGUGUUUAACGCAUCCGGGCACGUUCCCAAUCCCGUCCUGCUAAGACCGUCGCGAAAUAGAGCACUCGAUGAGACUUAAGAGUGCUCCUCGACACGUCCACUUUAGUAGAACCCCGAACUAUCUUUAUAAACCUGCAGUUCAUCCUGUACUCUGCACCGACAUGGUCGCCGCGAUGUCUCGGCCUCGUCGGUUUCACACUGAUAUGAGCGCUGUAUGAAUACCUAUUGCUUUAUCAAGUACGCUGCACCGUCGCCAGCCUGGAUAACAUUUUCUAGCUCACUGAGAAUAGAAAUAGACUGGUGAGUCGACAAAGUGUCAGGGUUCGAAUAAAGAUGUUCAGGAGCCGUACUUUAUAUAUAACGGCAACACGAACGUGACAUUAUGGUAAAACCUGUAAACCGUCCGCAGUUUGAUGGAUUCAGUGGAAAUGAUUUGAACUAUAUGUCAUGACGGGCCACUGAAAAAGGACAGGGGUUUAACCUACACUAGUAGAGCUGCAAUUUCUUCUUCUUCUUCUUCUUCUCCUGUGAUGCGCUGGAUUCAGUCGGAGUGCUGCUGGGAGAAUGAAUGCUCAUGGUCGGUGAAGGUAGCAGCCCUGCAGCACUCCAUAAAAUCCCACCAUCAAAAUCUAACAAAGGCACGGGAAGGACUUUAUUAACCGCUGGGUCAAACGAAUCAUCCCCUUCCUGCUCAUAGAGACAGCACUCUAAAAAAAUAAAGCCGUUUUUGAAAGAUGGCAGGGGUUGAGAGGUGACCGGGGUGUUAAAAGCUGCACAGUGAAAGCUCAGCUCGACUAAGACAGGGGCGUUAACCGGCGGUCCGGAUAAGAAACCCGGCAAAGCAUUUCAGAAGAGCGAACUUAAUACUGGAGUAGAACGGAAAAAAAUAAAAUAAAUAAAUAAAUAACGUGAUAAAAACUAGUGACUGGUUUUCUAAACACGUCCCAAACUCAGGAUCUCUAUCGGACCCUGUUUUGCAGUUUUUAGCCAAUCACAUGCAUUUCUGUCAGUUAUUGUGCUUCAGGUAGCGACUAGGUAUCAGACCAGAGACUAGCUACGGGGAUAGAUAUUAUAUCAGUAAGGGAAGACUUUUUUUUUUACAGAAUUUUCGUUGUAUUUACCCUCUCUGGUCUGAUUAGUGAGACAAAAAAAAAAACCAAAACAAGCAAAACUGAAUUUUUAAAGGUGAAGACACAAUGAAGUAUACGUUUAUUUUCAUGUAUGUCAUCUGUUCAGAGUCCCGGGCACUAGUUAAAAGCGUUAACGUGAAACUAGGAAACAAAACAAGCACUUCCCGUUGUUUUAUUUAUAGCCACGCGAUAAAAGCUUUUGCUGAAGAAGUAAAAACAACAACAACAACAACAACAACAACAACAACAAAAAAAAAACCCUGUUGUCAUCAUUUCUGUUCAUGGUGUCAGUUCUUCGUACGUCCCUUCAUACGCGACUAAUCUUACCUAACUUGCUAACGUGAGUUUCUGUUUUAUUUAUUUAUUUAUUUUCUGGAAGAUGCGAUAAGUAUAGCGUGGAAGCCGCAAACGCCACAAUGAGACGAUGGACAUAACGCGUCAUUAUGACAUACUGCAGGUACGAAACACAGCUAAGGCUUUCAUUUCCUAACGGGUAAACUCCCGUUCAAGUGCCGAACCGCUUCCCGCGUGGGAGCGGUUCGAAAACGACUACACGUCAUGUCCUUUUACGAAGCCUCAGAUUCGGCGUGUAGAGGGCGUAGAGUCGUAUUCCUCUCCAGUCGGGUCUCGGAUCGAAGACGGGAAAGUGGUAAACCGCGUGAUGGAUUGAACGGGAAAUAAUCCUUGGUUAUCCGUGUGGAAGUGUAGUUAUCAAGUCAUUCGAUGUUGUAAAUUCGCAGCACUUGUUAUUUACAUCCUGGUUUUAGUUUUAUUUAUUUUUUUUUAAAAAAGCUGUAAGUUUUUUCAUUUCUAUAAUUCUGCAUGCAUGAGUAAUUCCUGACCGGUGUUUUCUUUUAACUCGAGAUCCACUUAGGCAACGUUAAUGAAGUCUGCAUCGAUCUCCUACUCUCUGAAUAUUUAUGGAAAAAGAGUUUGUGCCAAAAUUCAUGAUAUAUUUACGAUGGAUAAAUCUGGAGUUGUC